GUGUCCUGUCAGAUAAACCCCCGCCUUCACGCACUUCGUCGCGGGAGGACAAGGAGACUGCUGGUCCUAGCCUAGUUCAGUACAGUAUAUGUUGUGAGCGUGCUCCAGAUCUCCGGAGAUAGCACAGUACGCUGUGUCCAGCCCAGAGGUGAAAGCCAUCCAAAGCAGAGUAACUGUGCUUUGCGUCCAAGUUGAUACCUGUGGAGAGGAAAGGAAAGAGAGAGUGAGUAACACAAGGAGAAACAGAGGAAACCUGUACUUACAGUACGCUGUGUCCAGCCCAGAGGUGAAAGCCAUCCAAAGCAGAGUAACUGUGCUUUGCGUCCAAGUUGAUACCUGUGGAGAGGAAAGGAAAGAGAGAUUGAUACCUGUGGAGAGAAAAGGAGAGAGAGUGGGUAACACGAGGAGAGACCGAGGAAACCUGUACUUACGCCGCUGCCUGUGGAGAAAGAGAAAGCGAGUGAGCACCCAAGGAACGAACUGUGUGAACCAGUACUUACUGUGAGCUGCAAUCAGCGAAGAGGUGAGAGCAAAACCAAGCUGAACUAACUGUGCCUGUGUGUCCCAGCCGUUGCCUGUGGAGGAAGAGAAAGAGAGUGAGCACCCCGAGAACGAACUGUGUGAACCAGUACUUACCGUGAGCUGUAUUCAGCGAAGAGGAGGAAGAAGGAGGGCGCUACGGAUACCUAAGACUCAGGCCGGGGCCCGAGUCCCACGCCCCGGAUCCCCGUGGCCCCCUUGCUCCCUGACCUCUUCCCGGCCAUAGCCCAUCUGGAGGGCCGAGUCAGAGUUUAGUUUUAAUUGCCCUUUCCCUAUU
ensembl:lncRNA